UACGUAGGGGGCAAGCGUUGUCCGGAAUCAUUGGGCGUAAAGAGCGCGUAGGCGGCCCUGUAAGUCCGCUGUGAAAGUCAAGGGCUCAACCCUUGAAUGCCGGUGGAUACUGCAGGGCUAGAGUCCGGAAGAGGCGAGUGGAAUUCCUGGUGUAGCGGUGAAAUGCGCAGAUAUCAGGAGGAACACCGAUGGCGAAGGCAGCUCGCUGGGACGGUACUGACGCUGAGGAGCGAAAGCGUGGGUAGCAAACAGG
rnacentral:rRNA from 1 species